CUGACUAAUUCUUGCACUUCUUCUGCUUCUCAGUUGCUGAAUAAAUGGGCGCCGGUGUUUAAGAACUAUGUGAAGAGAGCCCAGGACCACCUGGACUGUCUGUCUGCUUUCGAGGAGCACUUCCUGGAGCAGGAGAGUCACUGGGCUGCGAUGUUCAAGGUCCUGAUGAACAUGUACCAGCUGGAGAUCCUGGAGGAGGACAUGAUAAUGCGUUGGUUCUCCCAGGGGGACAUCACCGACCAGAGCAAGCAGCUGCGCAAGAACCAGGGGCUUCAGAAGUUCAUCCAGUGGUUGAAGGAGGCAGAGGAGUCUUCAGAGGAGGAAGGGGAAUAAGGACGAGCACAAAGAUGACUGUAAACUUGAAGAAAGAGGGAUUCAGGCAGCUGGUGUUACCCCCGGCAACAGCAGCUUUCUGUCACUAACAUCCAGCAGGAUCUUCUCUGUACAGUUUAGACGGACACAUUUGAUCACAUAGUGCCACGCCAGGUAAGGGCGGUGUGCUGUGAACGUCAAUAUCCAAUUAAAGAAGAGAGAGACCCCUGACUGCUUGGAAAAGAACACAAAAUGUCUCACUCAAUAUAAAGGUUUUAUUAAAGAUAUCACCACAUCCCUUUA